rnacentral:rRNA from 1 species
CUAGCCCUAAACCCAAAUAGUUACAUAACAAAACUAUUCGCCAGAGUACUACUCGCAACUGCCUAAAACUCAAAGGACUUGGCGGUGCUUCACAUCCACCUAGAGGAGCCUGUUCUAUAAUCGAUAAACCCCGAUAGACCUUACCAACCCUUGCCAAUUCAGCCUAUAUACCGCCAUCUUCAGCAAACCCUAAAAAGGAACAAUAGUAAGCACAAUCNUAGCACAUAAAAACGUUAGGUCAAGGUGUAGCUUAUGGGUUGNAAAGAANUGGGCUACAUUUUCUACAUAAGAAUAUCCACCACACGAAAGUUUUU